UGGGGAAUAUUGCGCAAUGGGGGAAACCCUGACGCAGCGACGCCGCGUGUGGGAUGAAGGUCUUCGGAUUGUAAACCACUGUCGCGAGGGACGAAGCUCUGACGGUACCUCGAAAGGAAGCACCGGCUAACUCUGUGCCAGCAGCCGCGGUAAUACAGAGGGUGCGAGCGUUGUCCGGAAUCACUGGGCGUAAAGGGCGCGUAGGCGGCCCGGUAAGUAGGGGGUGAAAUCUCAUGGCUCAACUGUGAGGCUGCCUUCUAGACUGCCAGGCUUGAGCACAGUAGAGGCGAGUGGAAUUCCCGGUGUAGCGGUGGAAUGCGUAGAGAUCGGGAAGAACAUCAGUGGCGAAGGCGGCUCGCUGGGCUGUUGCUGACGCUGAGGCGCGAAAGCGUGGGGAGCAAACAGGAUUAGAUACCCCUGUAGUCCCUGAGCGGGCUGGCAAGGCGCAU
rnacentral:rRNA from 1 species